rnacentral:rRNA from 1 species
AGUGAACGCUGGCGGCAGGCCUAACACAUGCAAGUCGAGCGGCAGCGGGUCCCCGCGAGGGGAUGCCGGCGAGCGGCGGACGGGUGAGGAACACAUCGGAAUCUGCCUGGGUUGUGGGGGAUAACGUAGGGAAACUUACGCUAAUACCGCAUGAGACCCUGAGUCGACGGACUGGGGGUGAAAGUGAGGGACCUUCGGGCCUCACGCGACCAGAUGAGCCGAUGUCGGAUUAGCUAGUUGGCGGGGUAACGGCCCGCCAAGGCGACGAUCCGUAGCUGGUCUGAGAGGAUGAUCAGCCACACUGGGACUGAGACACGGCCCAGACUCCUACGGGAGGCAGCAGUGGGGAAUCGUUGGACAAUGGGCGCAAGCCUGAUCCAGCCAUGCCGCGUGAGUGAAGAAGGCC